rnacentral:rRNA from 1 species
CUGUUUAUCAAAAACAUAGCCUAAUGAUUAUUAAUGUCAGGUUUAUUCUGCUCAGUGAAUCACUAAAUUUAUCAACAGCCGCAGUAAUCUGACUGUGCUAAGGUAGCAUAAUAAAUUGGCCUUUAAUUAGGGUCUGGAAUGAAAGGAAUUAUAUAUAGUAGCUGUCUCAAGUUGUGCAUUUUUCUUAACUUACUCAUAAGGUGAAAAUUCCUUAAAUUCUAUAGAUAGACGAGAAGACCCUUAGAAUUUUUAUUAGCCUAGUAGUAUCACUAUUUACUUCUCUUUUUUGUUGGGGCGACAAGUAAUCAGAUAAAACAUUACUUUGGAAGAUAUUAUUACAUGACUAUGUUUUGAUUAGUGAGACUAAAUUACCUGAGGGAUAACAGCAUAAUAUUAAUUACAUGUUUAUGACCUCGAUGUUGGACUAGGGAAAUAAUAGGCUAGCAGUCUAUAAAUUAAGUUCUGUUCGAACUUUAUACCCCUACGUGAUCUGAGUUCAGAC